rnacentral:tRNA from 1 species
GGUUGUGGCUCAGUGUUAGAGUGCUUGCCCAGCAUGUGUGAGGUCCUGGGUUCAAUCCUCAGCACCA